AGACGAACGCGCGGCGUGCUACACAUGCAGUCGAACGGAAAGGGCCUUCGGGGUACUCGAGUGGCGAACGGGUGAGUAACACGUGGGUGAUCUGCCCUGCACUUUGGGAUAAGCUGGGAAACUGGGUCUAAUACCGAAUAGGACCACGCGCUUCAUGGUGUGUGGUGGAAAGCUUUUGCGGUGUGGGAUGGGCCCGCGGCCUAUCAGCUUGUUGGUGGGGUAAUGGCCUACCAAGGCGACGACGGGUAGCCGGCCUGAGAGGGUGACCGGCCACACUGGGACUGAGAUACGGCCCAGACUCCUACGGGAGGCAGCAGUGGGGAAUAUUGCACAAUGGGCGCAAGCCUGAUGCAGCGACGCCGCGUGAGGGAUGACGGCCUUCGGGUUGUAAACCUCUUUCAACAGGGACGAAGCGUNAGUGACGGUACCUAUAGAAGAAGCACCGGCCAACUACGUGCCAGCAGCCGCGGUAAUACGUAGGGUGCGAGCGUUGUCCGGAAUUACUGGGCGUAAAGAGCUCGUAGGUGGUUUGUCGCGUUGUUCGUGAAAACUCACAGCUUAACUGUGGGCGUGCGGGCGAUACGGGCAGACUAGAGUACUGCAGGGGAGACUGGAAUUCCUGGUGUAGCGGUGGAAUGCGCAGAUAUCAGGAGGAACACCGGUGGCGAAGGCGGGUCUCUGGGCAGUAACUGACGCUGAGGAGCGAAAGCGUGGGGAGCGAACAGGAUUAGAUACCCUGGUAGUCCACGCCGUAAACGGUGGGUACUAGGUGUGGGUUCCUUCCUUGGGAUCCGUGCCGUAGCUAACGCAUUAAGUACCCCGCCUGGGGAGUACGGCCGCAAGGCUAAAACUCAAAGGAAUUGACGGGGGCCCGCACAAGCGGCGGAGCAUGUGGAUUAAUUCGAUGCAACGCGAAGAACCUUACCUGGGUUUGACAUGCACAGGACGCCGGCAGAGAUGUCGGUUCCCUUGUGGCCUGUGUGCAGGUGG
rnacentral:rRNA from 1 species